AGUGAACGCUGGCGGUAGGCCUAACACAUGCAAGUCGAACGGCAGCACAGGAGAGCUUGCUCUCUGGGUGGCGAGUGGCGGACGGGUGAGGAAUACAUCGGAAUCUACCUUUUCGUGGGGGAUAACGUAGGGAAACUUACGCUAAUACCGCAUACGACCUACGGGUGAAAGCAGGGGACCUUCGGGCCUUGCGCGAUUGAAUGAGCCGAUGUCGGAUUAGCUAGUUGGCGGGGUAAAGGCCCACCAAGGCGACGAUCCGUAGCUGGUCUGAGAAGAGGAUCAGCCACAAUGGAACUGAGACACGGUCCAGACUCCUACGGGAGGCAGCAGUGGGGAAUAUUGGACAAUGGGCGCAAGCCUGAUCCAGCCAUACCGCGUGGGUGAAGAAGGCCUUCGGGUUGUAAAGCCCUUUUGUUGGGAAAGAAAUCCAGCCGGUUAAUACCUGGUUGGGAUGACGGUACCCAAAGAAUAAGCACCGGCUAACUUCGUGCCAGCAGCCGCCGUAAGAC
rnacentral:rRNA from 1 species